GAUAAUUAAUAGUCUAAUAUAUUUUAUUUCACGAAGUAAAACGAGCUAAAAGAAUCUUUAUAGUAGUAUUUAAUAUUAUAUGUAGCAGUAUAUAAUUAUUAUUUUCUUUUAGGGGUGAUAUGCCUAUCAAGUUUUUAGAUAACUUGAUGUACAGGAGAAAUAUUAAGUAUAUAGUCAAUUUAAAAAUGCUAAGGUUUUUAAAGUAUACCAUACGUCAUAUAUAGAUAACAUAUUAUUUAAUUGUAUAUGUUUUAUUUAAAUAAUAAUUAUAUUGUAGUAUAAUGUAUCAACUAUUGUACUAUAGUAUUUAAUUAAUUAAGCUAUAAAUAAUGUUAUUAUUAGUAUUAUAAUAGAUUUUGUUAAGGAACUCGGCAAAGAUAUUAUUCAACUGUUUACCAAAAACAUUGCCUUGUGGAAGUAUUCAAGGUUAGCCCUGCUCAAUGGUAUACUAAAUAGCCGCAGUACUUUGACUGUGCAAAGGUAGCAUAAUCAUUUGGCUUAUAAUUGAAGUCUGGUAUGAAUGGGUAACUGGAUAAAAACUAUCUUUCCACAAUAAAUUGAAUUUACUUAGUAAGUGAAAAUUCUUACUAAAAAAAAAUAGACGAGAAGACCCUAGAAAUUUUUUAAAUAUAUAUUAAGAUAUUUUAUUUUGUUGGGGCGACAGGGUAGCAAUAUAACCUACCUAUAAUUGAUAUAAAAUUAUUUAAAGAUAUAAAUAAAUUACUCUAGGGAUAACAGCAUAAUACAUAAGAGUUUGUGACCUCGAUGUUGGACUAGGUAAAUUAAUGUCUAGAAGAUAUUAAUUUAGGCUCUGUUCGAGCUAUAAUACCUACGUGAUCUGAGUUCAGACCGG
rnacentral:rRNA from 1 species